AGUAACGCGUAGGUAACCUACCUUGUAGCGGGGGAUAACUAUUGGAAACGAUAGCUAAUACCGCAUAACAAUGGGUGACUCAUGUCAUUUAUUUGAAAGGGGCAAAAUGCUCCACUACAAGAUGGACCUGCGUUGUAUUAGCUAGUAGGUGAGGUAACGGCUCACCUAGGCGACGAUACAUAGCCGACCUGAGAGGGUGAUCGGCCACACUGGGACUGAGACACGGCCCAG
rnacentral:rRNA from 1 species